AGAUACAGUAAAUAUGGAAGCAGCUGAUUCAAAAGUACAGGGAUAGUAUCAGCAGGCCCCUCUUCUGGUACAUAACGUGUUCCUUAAGACGCUUGGAAAUUCAAACAAUAGAGAUCUCUGUAUAUGCUUCUGGGGAGAGGGAAGAGGUAUGGACAUCAAGAUUCCUGGAAAAUACUAUUGAUGUCUUUCUGUCAUGCAUCAUGGAAAUGCUGGAGACGAUUUGUCGGAUAAUUAAAAGAGAAACCUGUAAAGGCAAGAUUCCUGUGAGCGAGUUGGUGCUGCAACGUGCUGAAUGUUCUUGCCAGUUAUUCUGAGAAACUGAAGAAACCGUGGUGUGAAUGUUCAGCGCCAGCUAUUUUUACUACUGUUAGAACUGAUCAGAUCAUUUAAGACACAUUUCAAAAUGCAUGACUGAUGACCAUGAGAUACAAUUCCCAAGGUUAAAUCUCCUACAAUCCUUCUAUUCCUUCCAUGCAUGUAAAUUUUGUUUGUCAAUUUUCAACUAUGGUCAGUAUAUUUUAGACUGUGUUUUAAUAAUAUAAAGAAGGGGAAAAAAUGGAAAUCUUAUCUUUCUGUCAAACCAAGCAUGUCAUUUGAGGAUAUAUCCUUGUGACAAACUUUAUUUGAGCUUACCCAAUUCCUAGCUUCAGAAGCUGGAAGAUACAUCGAAAGGUUUAGACUUGUCAAUGAGUCUGCCUGGAUUUGGAUCAAGAAACUUAAGAAAAAAAAUUUUCUCUUUUUGCCUUUAAAAACAUAUAUAAAACAUCAAAGGAUAUUUUCUGCUGUUCUCAAUUGUUGUGUGUAAACUGUGGUAGUUUUUGUUUUUAAUAGAUAAAUAAAAAUGUAAUGAAAAGAGAAUAUCAAAAAGAGAAUGUAGUUACCAAAUGUCCGUUAAGAGCUUUCUCUAAAGAAAAACUCUCCUGUGAAAGUUUGAACAUUGUAAGCCAUUUGCAUCUGAUAGAGAAUGGCAUUGCACACACUGGUAACAUUCAGUCCCUAG
rnacentral:lncRNA from 1 species